CAAGGGAUAAAAGUAAGAGAUACGAAAUCGGCAGGUAUGCGGAUCGAUCAUUCGAUAAUUGACAGUGCUCACGCGUAUCGUAGAUACGGGUUGCAUGCAAUGGAGAUAAAAGUGUGAUAAGCAGAUUUGCAAGAUGAUAUAGAAUCAGCGUUGUGUUGAACCGAAUCAAAGAGACGAAAUAAAACCAACAACUGACAUCGAUAAAAUAAAUGCACAGUUGGUUGGGAUUAAAAAGGAAAAAAAAAAAAAAAUGAAAGAAAAAAACCUCUCGGCGAGUUUAAAUUCCAGAUGAAGAUGAAGCAUGCGUCAUGAAUUAUUAAGGAGGUCUGCAAAGGCUUACAAUGAUAAGUAGCACAAUAAUCUGCGCUAUCAUUACAGAAAAUGAACGAAAGAUGGGGAAAUUCACGAAUACACUCGCAUGGAGAAGAAAUGCCGACCGAUACCGAUCGCGGGAUAAAAAUUAUUUCGGUCAAAAAUACGUAGGCAGCAGCUGUGUUUACGUUGCAUUACAUGAAUAUAAAUUAAUAACUGUAGUCAAUCGCAGUAGAGAGUACAGAAAUGCAAAUACAUACAGACAAACACAUAUUCUUGCUAUUUACUCUGGGAUGAUCGUCGAUUGACGGUGGAAAUAAAUAAAUGGAAAUCCAAGAUUCGUGACACGUUGCGCUUGUUGCACACAGUGGUAUGCGAUUUUUUUUCGUUGUAGGCUAUCAAAUCAAUUUUCCAGGUGAAAGUUUGAAUGAACUAUUUUUUCGAUUCAUCGAUUUCUCUGAGAUCUUGAAAGUUUCAUUGAAGCUUUUUGGUCCUCUUUUUAAUUUGUUCCAUUUCGUACAUUGUUUGUCGAUUUUAUUCUCUUGGCCGGUAGUCGAGUUAUGAAUUACAACUAUUAUCGAGUACAUGCAAAUCUACAGGGUGUCCAACUUCAGAUUAGUAAUUAUAAGGUAUCACAUUUUUUAAGGGAAAGAUCAUGGAGUGAUUAUCGAGGAGUCGAGAUGAGAGCUAUUUUUUCAAUAAGAAGAUGAAAGCAGUUAUCAUCCAAUGUCGUUGAAAUUUACGAAUGGUAGGUUUUUUUUUGUCUCUAGCUACGUUGCGACGUUGGAUAAAAAGGAUCUGAAUAAAAAUACCAUUUGGCUUAUGAGAUAUUCCUAAAU